GACUGAAUGAUUAUAGACAUUUACUGAGGAUGUGCAUGCAGGACAUAUUGUUAAUAAGGAAUUCUUCGUUUAUGACAAGCU
rnacentral:snoRNA from 1 species